UGGGGAAUAUUGCACAAUGGGCGCAAGCCUGAUGCAGCCAUGCCGCGUGUAUGAAGAAGGCCUUCGGGUUGUAAAGUACUUUCAGCGGGGAGGAAGGUGUUGAGGUUAAUAACCUCAGCAAUUGACGUUACCCGCAGAAGAAGCACCGGCUAACUCCGUGCCAGCAGCCGCGGUAAUACGGAGGGUGCAAGCGUUAAUCGGAAUUACUGGGCGUAAAGCGCACGCAGGCGGUCUGUCAAGUCGGAUGUGAAAUCCCCGUGCUCAACCUGGGAACUGCAUUCGAAACUGGCAGGCUAGAGUCUUGUAGAGGGGGGUAGAAUUCCAGGUGUAGCGGUGAAAUGCGUAGAGAUCUGGAGGAAUACCGGUGGCGAAGGCGGCCCCCUGGACAAAGACUGACGCUCAGGUGCGAAAGCGUGGGGAGCAAACA
rnacentral:rRNA from 1 species